rnacentral:rRNA from 1 species
GACGGAGGAUGCAAGCGUUAUCCGGAUUGAUUGGGCGUAAAGCGUCUGUAGGUGGCUUGGUAAGUCUGCUGUCAAAGCCCCGGGCUUAACCCUGGACAGGCAGUGGAAACUACCGAGCUUGAGUACGGUAGGGGCGGAGGGAAUUCCCGGUGAAGCGGUGAAAUGCGUAGAUAUCGGGAAGAACGCCAACAGCGAAGGCACUCUGCUGGGCCGACACUGACACUCAGAGACGAAAGCUAGGGGAGCGAAUGGG